GGCUUGCCCAGCUGCACACACCCGCCCUCCCUCGGCCGCCUCCCUCCCCCGGCUGCGCACACACCGCACGCUCGCACCCGCUCGGGUGUCAAACCCCGCCGGGCACCCAGCCUGCUGUGGGCACUGCCCCGGCCCCCCCGGCCCUUCCCAGCGCCGCCGACCGGAGCCUCCCCCGCUUCCAAAUGGCACCAACACUGACCCAGCCCUGGUGCUCUGUGCUGUGGCAUCCCUCUGCAAGGUGGACAGGAGGGCAAGGAGGAGAAGCUGAGAGAAUCUCCAAACUGCUCCCUCUGGCUGCUCCAAGAAGCUGAACUUUCCCUGGAAGCUGUGCCUGGUGCUCCCAGGCCACUGCACCCUUCUCACUUGACUGCCCUGCUGGUAGCUUCACUUUUAGGAUGAAUUAUGCAAGAAAUGCUGUGAAGCAUCAGAAAUGCUGAGGAUUGAGAAGAGUCCUCUCGGUGCACGAACUUGUUUGUGGAUAAAGUCCCACUCACCUGGAUUCCAGCUCCUCCAGAACAGGCCACGAGGUGUGGAAAGGAUCACGAAUUAAUCAGUGGACUUUGGUUUUGCUUUGGUGUGCUUGUAUCAUGUCUGAACAUGCAAAGAACUCGGUUUUCCACAAGGAAUCCAGUAAAUGGCACCUCUGUGAAUCA